UACGUAGGGGGCAAGCGUUGUCCGGAUUUAUUGGGCGUAAAGAGCGUGUAGGCGGCCAGACAGGUCAGCUGUGAAAACUCGAGGCUCAACCUCGAGACGUCGGUUGAAACCGUCUGGCUAGAGUCCGGAAGAGGAGAGUGGAAUUCCCGGUGUAGCGGUGAAAUGCGCAGAUAUCAGGAGGAACACCAAUGCGAAGGCAGCUCGCUGGACGUUACUGACGCUGAGACGCGAAGCGUGGAGCAACAG
rnacentral:rRNA from 1 species